rnacentral:rRNA from 1 species
CGCUGGCGGCACGCCUAACACAUGCAAGUCGAACGAAGUAGCAAUACUUAGUGGCAGACGGGUGAGUAACAUGUAGGUAUCUGCCCUUUGGCCUGGAAUAACACGAGGAAACUUGUGCUAAUACCGGAUAAGUCUUUACGGAGAAAGCUUUAUGCACCAUUGGAUGAGCCUGCACUUGAUUAGUUUGUUGGUGGGGUAAUGGCCUACCAAGACUGUGAUCAAUAGCUGAUUUGAGAGGAUGAUCAGCCACAUUGGGACUGAGACACGGCCCAAACUCCUACGGGAGGCAGCAGUGGGGAAUCUUGCACAAUGGAGGAAACUCUGAUGCAGCGAUGCCGCGUGAGUGAAGAAGGCCCUUGGGUUGUAAAGCUCUUUCGUCGGGGAAGAAAAUGACUGUACCCGAAUAAGAAGGUCCGGCUAACUUCGUGCCAGCAGCCGCGGUAAUACGAAGGGACCUAGCGUAGUUCGGAAUUACUGGGCUUAAAGAGUUCGUAGGUGGUUGAAAAAGUUGGUGGUGAAAUCCCAGAGCUUAACUCUGGAACUGCCAUCAAAACUUUUCAGCUAGAGUAUGAUAGAGGAAAGCAGAAUUUCUAGUGUAGAGGUGAAAUUCGUAGAUAUUAGAAAGAAUACCAAUUGCGAAGGCAGCUUUCUGGAUCAUUACUGACACUGAGGAACGAAAGCAUGGGUAGCGAAGAGGAUUAGAUACCCUCGUAGUCCAUGCCGUAAACGAUGUGUGUUAGACGUUGGAAAUUUAUUUUCAGUGUCGCAGCGAAAGCGAUAAACACACCGCCUGGGGAGUACGAC